UCAUCCAGCACACACACACACAUCAUCCAGCACUCACACACCCAUCCAGCACUUACACACCCAUCAUCCAGCACACACACACACCCAUCAUCCAGCACCUCACACACAUCAUCCAGCACUCACACACCCAUCAUCCAGCACUCACACACAUCAUCCAGCACACACACACAUCAUCCAGCACUCACACACAUCAUCCAGCACACACACACACAUCAUCCAGCACACACACACACACAUCAUCCAGCACACACACACA